rnacentral:rRNA from 1 species
UCAGUUUGUAUACCGUUGUUAUAAGAAUAUUUUAUUAGAAUAAUAAUUUUCUAGAAUUUUUAUAAAAAUUUAUAUCAGAUCAAGGUGCAGCUUAUGUUUAAGUAGAGAUGGGUUACAAUAAAUUUAUUUAUAUGAAUUAAUUUUUGAAAUAAAAUUAUGAAGGUGGAUUUGAAUGUAAAAUUAUAAAGAUAAAUAAUUUGAUUUUAGCUCUAAAAUAUGUACACAUCGCCCGUCACUCUUAUUAUUAAGGUAAGAUAAGUCGUAACAUAGUAGAUGUACUGGAAAGUGUCUCUAGAAUGCAAUUUAAAGCUUAAAUAGUAAAGCAUUUCAUUUACAUUGAAAAGAUUUUUGUGCAAAUCAAUAUAAAUUGAUUAAUUUUAAUUUAUUUAAAUAAUUAAUUUUAAUUUGAAUUUUUUUUAUUAGAAAUAACUUUAAUAAAAUAUGUUUAAGUAUUGUAUAAAGAAUUAAUAAUUUUAAUAAUAGUGUAUUAGUAUUGUGAAAGAAAAUUGAAAUAAUUUG